rnacentral:misc_RNA from 1 species
AGCAGCCGCGGUAAUUCCAGCUCCAAUAGCGUAUAUUAAAGUUGUUGCAGUUAAAAAGCUCGUAGUUGAAUUUCGGGAUCAGUUGAUCGGUCGUGCCUCGGUACGUACUGGUCAAAUUGAUUCCUACCUUCUGACGAACCACGAUGUCAUUAAUUUGGUGUCGUGGGAAAUCAGGACUGUUACUUUGAAAAAAUUAGAGUGUUUAAAGCAGGCUCGCGCUUGAAUACAUUAGCAUGGAAUAAUGAAAUAGGGCGUUUGAUUCUAUUUUGUUGGUUUCUAGGAUCGACGUAAUGAUUAAUAGGGAUAGUUGGGGGCAUUAGUAUUCAAUUGUCAGAGGUGAAAUUCUUGGAUUUAUUGAAGACUAACUACUGCGAAAGCAUUUGCCAAGGAUGUUUUCAUUAAUCAAGAACGAAAGUUAGGGGAUCGAAGACGAUCAGAUACCGUCGUAGUCUUAACCAUAAACUAUGCCGACUAGGGAUCGGAUGAUGUUAAUUUUUUAAUGACUCAUUCGGCGCCUUAC